UUUGGCCUGCUUUUGGGAUCUGCAUUAGACCCUUGUGUUCAGGUCAAAUGACAGGUAGCUGUCAACUGCCAGGUGCAUUUUGAGUAGUUGCAGUAGUCCCUAACUAUGAAAGUGACUUGCAGUGUAGUCAGCAGCCUAGACGCCAUGCAGAAUGAUGUGGUACUUUCUAUAGCACAUGUUUACACGCUGGCUGCCUGCAUAGAGCAUGUGGUUGCAUACUGUGAUACCCGACAAUGCUCUAUUUUACAGUUUAAAAUCCC